AUUCCCUUUUAAAUUUUGAAGUUUGACCAUUGUAAAAUAUGCUCUGCAACUGUGUAUUAAACUUUGAAUUCUUGUCUGAGUCAAUAUGUGAUGAAAGUUGAGAAACAUGGAAUGGGUAUCUAAUUCUCAAAACAAAAGAAAAUGCAUUAGUCUAUACCAGUUAAGACUUUGUGGAAUGGAAGAAAGCUUCCGACUAAAAUUAGAUUUAAAUCUCUAUUUGUCGAAACUAAGUAAAACCAAAGCCUUUGUAUAUGUAUUCUUUGUAUGAAAUAUUGGCAAAUGGCAACAAAGUUGAAUACUAUUUAUAUAUUUUAUAUAUAUAACUUUAAAGAAAUUAUAUUUUUUUUCAAAAAAAAAAAAUUAAAAAGGUUUCAUGAUUGGAUUGGACAUUGAAAUCAACAAGUGUGCUUUCAAAAAGGAAAAUUGUUUGAAUUUGAGUCCAUCGUAUUAUAAAACAGAGUUUUUAAAGAAUUAAUUUGUGAGGAAAAAAUACUAAGUGAGAACUAUUUAAAAAGAGAAGACCAAAUAAUAGAUGAAUCAUCUAGAUGUUUUUGGUUCUUGUCCAUGUUGUAACUAUUAAACAGAAUGCUUUGGAUCGACUCUGUUAUUAUUUUUUCUAUAUUAUAUACAUUAAAAAAUUAAAAGCCUCCUAAUUAAGCAUUUAACUAAUAUAAUAUUAUAUAUAUACACACACAUAUAUAGAAGGAUACAAUAAAGAUCUAUUCCAAGUUGAUAUUUGUAGCCUGUAGAGACAUAUUUUUUGCAUAGAUUUUAUCUUUUAUUUUGUGUGGUUGAAUUGUUUAGUCUAUGAAUAUGCUAAAAGUUUCUAUGGUCAUGAUCCACUAGUAUAAUUUUUUGUAUUUGUUUAUAAAAGUGGUCUACCAUUGAUAUGACAUAGUAUAUUUUAUAGUUAUUUUAGUGUUUGCAUGUUGUCCUACGAAGAAAAUAAUGGUUGUUUGUACUUGAUUUGACCUAACAUGCAUUAACUGCUUUUAUUGGGGUUGUUAUGUGCUGAAAUAAAUUGUGGUCUUUAGGUUUAAUAACUGUAAAUUAGGAAGCCACAUGAAAUCGUAUCCUUGAAUAGUGAAACUUUAAAUGAUGGCAUGCAAGUAGAAUCACAAUACAUAUCAACAUUAUCUUGGCCACAGUCACAACCACAGCCAGAGACUUAACCACAACCUAAAUCAAUGAAAAAGCCCAAACCAGUGACCCAAUCCGAUUUCCAUUCUAGUGGCCAAACCCAAACCCAUCCUCAUCUUCAACCUAAUAUCCAGUCUUACAUAGAUGAAUUAUUAUUUGAUGACUUUGUCUUUUAUGUUGAUUUUGAUUUGCCUAACCUUACGCCUCAUUAACCAUCAAAACCAACCGUAAACUAAAAAUAGAACUAGAAAUACUAAUGAUAUUGAGGACGAAAAUGAGUAUGAGGGUGAUGAUCCUAAUUUACAACAAUUUGAAUUUGAGCAGAGUGAUAAUGAUGAUGUAGCUUUUAUGGACAAUAUUGAUCCCACUAUUGAGUUCGCUAGUUUUGAAAGUGUUGGUUAUGUUAAUUCAGAUUAUGGUGAGGAUGAUGAGAUAAAGAGUAUUUAUGGUUCAUCAAGUGAUGAGGAUGGAGUAAGAAGACAAUAGUUUCAUGAGUUCAAUGUCGAGACACAUAUGGGUCAUCUGGAGUUCAAAUUAGGAAUGUUAUUUUCUUCGAUUGAUGACCUUAGACAAGCAAUGAAAGAAUAUGGGAUUAAAUCUCAAAGGGACAUAAAGUAUUAAAAAAAAAAAGAUAAAAAGAGGUUUCGAGCACUAUGUAAUGGUAAGAAGUGUGAAUAGAUUUUGUAUGCUGCAAUAAUGAAGGACAAUAAGACUUUUCAUAUUAGAAAUUAUUUUGGAUCCACACUCAUAGCUGCAAAGGAAAUUCAACAACCCUAAUGUGAACUCUAGUUGGAUGGCCAAGAAAUAUGACAAUAAAUUUAGUUCAAAUCCUAACUAGAGUUUGAAUCAUUCUUGGACACAAUUAGGAAUGACCUUGUCAUAGAAGUAAGCAGACAACAAUAUUAUAGGACUGAAAGGUAAGCCAUGAGGAUGAUACAAGGAGGUAUUGAGAAGUAAUAUGGGCCGAUUUGGGAUUAUUAUGAAGAGUUGAAGAGAAGCAAUGAAAAUAGCACAGUUGUUAUGAAAAAUGAAUUUCAAUGGGAGGUUAGUAGAUUUCAAAGGAUUUAUAUCUGCCUAGGAACUUGUAAAAAAGGGUUUAAAGAGGGGUGUAGGCCAUUGAUUGGCUUUGAUGGUUGCCACAUCAGAGGACAACAUCAAGGCCAACUAUUAACUAUUGUGGGAAUUGAUAGUAACAAUGCAAUGUUUCCAAUUGCAUAUUCAUUGGUUGAAGUUGAAAACAAAGACACUUGGAGUUGCUUUUUGGAGUUUCUUAUUCAAGACCUUGAUAUAGGGAACUCUAAUGGUUGGACAUUUAUCUUAGAUAGUUGGUGAAUGCAUUAAAGGACUUCUUGUCUAAUGCAGAACAUUAGCACUGUGUUAGACAUUUUUACAACAACUUUAAAACAAGUUUUAAGAGUUUGGCUUUGAAACAAAGGCUAUGGUGUGCAACUAAAGCUAGUACAGUGGCAAGAUAUGAAGCUGAGAUGACUAAGAUAAAGGAAUUAUCUGGUGAUGCUUUCAAAUGGGUAAGUGAGAAGGUUCCUAAGCAUUAGUCUAGAUCAUAUUUUAUGACUAUGCCAAAAUGUGAUAUUCUGUUGAAUAAUUUAUAUAAGGCUUUUAAAUGGAGCAUAAUAGCAGUUAGAGAUAAGCCUAUUAUAACCCUAUUGUAGUGUAUUAGAUGCAAAAUCAUGUAUAGAACGGCAUCUAAAAGAGAGGCAGUGAAUAAGUGGAAUGGGGAGCUUGGACCAAGGGUGUCAAAAAUAUUUUAAAAAAUGGAGUUUAAUGGAAGGAUUUGCAUACCUGAUUAGGUAGGACAACUAAAAUUCCAAGAUAGAAUGGUAGAUGGAUGUCAAUAUGUGGUAGAUCUACAACAAUACACUUGCUCUUGUAGAAACUAGGAUUUAACAGGGAUUCCAUGCCCUCUUGCCAUAUCUGCUAUUAUGUUAAGAGACAUGGAACCUUUUUUGGCAUUUGUAAACCCAUGGUACAAAAAGGAUGCCUAUAUGAAAGCCUACUCCCCUAUUGUGGCCUAAUGAAUGGCCUAAAUUUAUAGCCGAAGUCUCGAUUUCCUCCAUUGUAUCCACCCAAAUUUCACAAGCUACCUGGUAGACCAAGGAGAGUUAGAAGAAAGGAACCAGAUGAACAGCCAUCCAAAAAGUUAAGGAAGAGUGGUGUGAUAAUGACCUGUAGAAAAUGUGGAUCAACUGGCCAUAACUCUAGGUUGUGCAAAGCAUCUUGUGCAGAAGCAAUUACAAAGCAGCUUAAUGGAAGGCAAACUACUGCAUUAAUAGCAAAUGAACCAACACAAAAUACAGUGGUGAGUGGAAGGCAAACUACUGCAUCAAAUGGCAAAUGAACCAACUAAAAAACAUCAGGAUAGAUAAGCUACCAGUAAAGGGGUCAUCAAAUAGAAAAUGAAGCAUUGCCAUACACAUGUUUUUGGGGUUGUACAUUGUAUUUGUGGCUUUCAUUUUGAAACAGUUAUUUAUUAUUUUUUUUAGGACACUAGAAAAUGAAUAUUGUAUAGUCAAUAUUGGUAAAGUACCAAUAUGUGACAGAUGCUAUUUUUAUUGGUAAAGCACCAUAUUUUAUGAAAUAAAUAUUUGUUAAA